rnacentral:rRNA from 1 species
CUUGCCGUAGGGUCCACAAACUGAGUGAGUGUCGCAGCUAACGCGUUAAGCAGGGCGCCUGGGGAGUACGGCCGCAAGGCUAAAACUCAAAGGAAUUGACGGGGACCCGCACAAGCAGUGGAGCGCCUGGUUUAAUUCGAUGGUCAGCGAAGAACCUCACCUGGGCUUGAACUGUAGCUGCACACCUUGGGAAAACCAGGGGAGCUUUCGAGGGUGCUACAGAGGUGAUGCAUGGCUGUCGUCAGUUCGUGUCGUGAGAUGUAGGGUUAAGUCCCGUAACGAGCGCAAUUCUUAUCUGAUGUUAUAAUUUCUUCAGAGACUGCCCCGUCAUAGCGGGGAGUAAGGAGGGGAUGACGUCCAGUCAGCAUGUCCCUUAUGUCCAGGGCUACACAGACGCUACAAUGGCUAUUACAAUGGGCUGCCAAGCCGCGAGGUGGAGCGAAUCCCAUCAAANAUAGUCUCAGUUCGGAUGCUAGGCUGAAUUUCGCCUGCAUGAAGUCGGNAUUGCUAGUAUUCGCGUAUCAGC